UACGAAGGGGGGGGGCUAGCGUUGCUCGGAAUCACUGGGCGUAAAGGGUGCGUAGGCGGGUCUUUAAGUCAGGGUGAAUCCUGGAGCUCAACUCCAGAACUGCCUUGAUACUGAAGAUCUUGAGUUCGGGAGAGGUGAGUGGAACUGCGAGUGUAGAGGUGAAAUUCGUAGAUAUUCGCAAGAACACCAGUGGCGAAGGCGGCUCACUGGCCCGAUACUGACGCUGAGGCACGAAAGCGUGGGGAGCAAAC
rnacentral:rRNA from 1 species